GCGGCACAUAUGGUCGCCUUAGGACAAACCGUCCCUGGGGGCACUAAAUCUGGCUAACCAGCAGCGCAUUGCACAGCGUGUAGCGAGAACCGGGUGUAAGGAGGUUCAAUAACCUCUACCCUAGUCUGACAAGAAGUACUCACUGAGAGCACUGAACUGCUUCAUGUGAAGCCAGGGAGAGGUUACUGAAUCUCCUCUCCUCCAUAUGUAGUGUUUGUAUUGGUAUGUGUAAC